GCCUGGGAAACUGCCUGAUGGAGGGGGAUAACUACUGGAAACGGUAGCUAAUACCGCAUAACGUCGCAAGACCAAAGAGGGGGACCUUCGGGCCUCUUGCCAUCGGAUGUGCCCAGAUGGGAUUAGCUUGUAGGUGGGGUAACGGCUCACCUAGGCGACGAUCCCUAGCUGGUCUGAGAGGAUGACCAGCCACACUGGAACUGAGACACGGUCCAGACUCCUACGGGAGGCAGCAGUGGGGAAUAUUGCACAAUGGGCGCAAGCCUGAUGCAGCCAUGCCGCGUGUAUGAAGAAGGCCUUCGGGUUGUAAAGUACUUUCAGCGGGGAGGAAGGGAGUAAAGUUAAUACCUUUGCUCAUUGACGUUACCCGCAGAAGAAGCACCGGCUAACUCCGUGCCAGCAGCCGCGGUAAUACGGAGGGUGCAAGCGUUAAUCGGAAUUACUGGGCGUAAAGCGCACGCAGGCGGUUUGUUAAGUCAGAUGUGAAAUCCCCGGGCUCAACCUGGGAACUGCAUCUGAUACUGGCAAGCUUGAGUCUCGGAGAGGGGGGUAGAAUUCCAGGUGUAGCGGUGAAAUGCGUAAAAAUCU
rnacentral:rRNA from 1 species